GUCAUCGGUGGUGUGAACUUGUUGUUAAACACAAAUAUGUGUCUGGAUAUGGAGAUAUUGAGAAAUUUCUCAGAGAAGAUCAGGCAAUGGGUGUGUAUCUCUAUGGUGAAUUAAUGGUGAAUGAAGAUGCCAAACAACAAGAACUUGCAUACAAAUGCUUUGCUGCAGCACAAGAACAAAUGGAUAUGUCCUCAGCCGAAGUGGUGGCAGAGAUGUUAUUUUGAAGAGGAAAUGGUUGUUUCCGACUGGAGCUGCCACUACGGCUGCUGCUGUUGUCCCGAGCAUGGAUGGACCCGUCCUCCGGUGCCUACUGAGCUGAUAUCAGUUCUGAUUUUACAUACUGGCUCAGUUCAGCAGGAACAGGAGUCGAGCCCUAAAGCAAAAAAAUAUAUAUAUAAUAAAAAUUAAAAUUAAAAUUAAGAAAAAUAUAGAUGUGCCUUUUCUAAGAGCCUUUGAAAAAUGUUGUUAUUGUCUUCUCUAUAAAAUCAAGUUAGUGUACAUUAUGCUGUCCUGACGUUAAACACCAUACUCUUAAGGUGGAAAAGCUACCUCAGUACUGUUUAGAGAACUAUUGGCUUGUGAAAAGAGGUAUGUGGACAUGUAUAAUAUUGCACAGCAUUACCCUGAUAACGCCUCCAGCAUUAUUUUCAGAGUAACCUGCUAAUAACUGGGGAAAUUGCUUGUUCUUUGGCUCUUCUGUGUCUUCUCUUAACAUUGUUGUGGUAUCUCUAAGGAAAUCUCCCUUCCCAAUGCUCAGAGUUUUAUCGCAGAAGAUGUAGCGGGAAACAGUGCAUUUAAAAUACAAAUUCAGCUUUGUUAACGUUGUAACCACAGUUAUGCUCUGCUAGUAACCUAAAAAAUAACAUUUCAAAAUAAGGAAUACAGAGAUACUGCUUUAUUUUCACGGAAUAAUAACUUUCACUGCUCUUUCCGUUACAGGAAAGAUCACAGAGAAAUUCAUUUAAUCUAUCUCCUACUAAACCUCGGUGGUGUAGGAUUUCCUUGACCCAAGACAUCAAAAGAAGGAUUAAGUGACUGCUAAAACAAUCAGCUGACAGAAACAUUUACCUUUCAGUAUUUGUUUUCCAGAGGUUCACUGUAACCAAGAACAGGUAAAAAUGCAGAGACACAAACUGGCUUUAUGCACACAAACACACGCUCUAUUGUGGCUCUAAGUAGUCCUUACAAUACAAUUUGACAGGAAUUGAUGAAACUUUAUUCUGUACUUAAGAUUUUGUUUUAACUUCUACACCACUUCAGAAAGUUACAUAAAAUUAGCUGGAUGGUAGAGUGGGGAGAUUAAUUAGAAGAUGGAAUAAUCUCUGGAAGAUGACCAGCCAUUGAUACGGUGAUGGGAUGGGACUGAAAGAAAGAUUAAAAUUGUUCCUGUCUUGGUAAGGUUAACUUCUACCAGAAAUGUACCUCUCAAAUUCUGGAAAUAUCUUCUACAGCCCUGUUCUACUCCUUUUUUCUUCACUCUGUACACUAUUGCUUUAAAUCUAAUUCUUGUAACAAUAAAUAUGUUUUUCAAAUAUG